UACGUAGGUGACCAGCGUUGUCCGGAUUUACUGGGCGUAAAGAGCGCGCAGGCGGUCGUUCAAGUCGAGUGUGAAAGCCCCCGGCUCAACUGGGGAGGGUCACUUGAUACUGAUCGACUCGAAGGCAGGAGAGGGAAGCGGAAUUCCCGGUGUAGUGGUGAAAUGCGUAGAUAUCGGGAGGAACACCAGUGGCGAAGGCGGCUUCCUG
rnacentral:rRNA from 1 species